UACAGAGGAUGCAAGCGUUAUCCGGAAUGAUUGGGCGUAAAGCGUCUGUAGGUGGCUUUUUAAGUCCGCCGUCAAAUCCCAGGGCUCAACUCUGGACAGGCGGUGGAAACUACCAAGCUGGAGUACGGUAGGGGCAGAGGGAAUUUCCGGUGGAGCGGUGAAAUGCGUAGAGAUCGGAAGGAACGCCCGUGGCGAAAGCGAGGUCCUGGACGUCUACUGACGCUGAGACGCGAAAGCUAGGGGAGCAAACGGG
rnacentral:rRNA from 1 species